ensembl:snoRNA
CUGGCAGAUCUUAACACUCUGCCUAAAGAUUGAGGUUCUCCAUAGCCUGCCAUAGUCACUCAAUAGUGCUAUGUUUUCCCAGGGAGAUAUAAGA